CCUACGGGUAGCUGCAGUGAGGAAUAUUGGACAAUGGGCGCAAGCCUGAUCCAGCCAUGCCGCGUGCAGGAUGACGGUCUAUGGAUUGUAAACUGCUAGAAGAACUCGGGCGGUAUCGUAAGAAUAAGGAUCGGCUAACUCCGUGCCAGCAGCCGCGGUAAUACGGAGGAUCCAAGCGUUAUCCGGAAUCAUUGGGUUUAAAGGGUCCGUAGGCGGUUUAAUAAGUCAGUGGUGAAAGCCCAUCGCUCAACGGUGGAACGGCCAUUGAUACUGUUAAACUUGAAUUAUUAGGAAGUAACUAGAAUAUGUAGUGUAGCGGUGAAAUGCUUAGAGAUUACAUGGAAUACCAAUUGCGAAGGCAGGUUACUACUAAUGAUUGACGCUGAUGGACGAAAGCGUGGGUAGCGAACAGGAUUAGAUACCCCAGUAGUC
rnacentral:rRNA from 1 species